rnacentral:tRNA from 1 species
GGAGUGUAGGUAAAUAUUGGUUCGUUACGCUUGACUGCUAAUCAAGUCCGUUUAACCGCGGUGAAGGUUCAAUUCCUUUGCGCUCCGC